rnacentral:rRNA from 1 species
GCAAGUCGAGCGCUACCUUCGGGUGGAGCGGCGGACGGGUUAGUAACGCGUGGGAACAUACCCUUUUCUACGGAAUAGCCUCGGGAAACUGAGAGUAAUACCGUAUACGCCCUUUUGGGGAAAGAUUUAUCGGUGAAGGAUUGGCCCGCGUUAGAUUAGAUAGUUGGUGGGGUAAUGGCCUACCAAGGCUGCGAUGGUUAGCUGGUUUGAGAGAAUGAUC